CUUAACGGAGUUUUUUAAAGUAUGUUUUUGUACCGAAAGGUUAUGAUCUUAGAUUUAUUUGUUUAGAAGUGUUGUUUGGGCGGGGUAAGGUCUUGUAAACUAAAUUUAUGUGGUGAUAAGUGUGUCGUAAAGCUCUAUAACUCUUUGGUUGUUUAGAAUUUAGUGGGAUGUAGGAGGCUAUUAGGUCAUUUAUAUUUUUAUACAUUGGGUGAUGUGUGGUUUUUGAUAAGGUUAGAGGUACCUAGUUUUUGUUAUAUUGUUGUAAAUAUGGUUUUGUUGGUUUAUUGGUAUGUUAAUUGUUGGAACAACUGUUUUGCUAUAUUUGGUUAUUAUAUUAUGGUUGAAUAAGUAAUUUUAUUAUGCUAUUUAUUUCUUGAGUUCUUUCCGUCUGUUUAUUAAAAACAUUUCUAAUUUUAAUUGUAGUUAGUAGUGCCUGCCCAAUGUUGGUUAAUUAAUGGCCGCAGUAUAUUGACUGUGCAAAGGUAGCAUAAUUAAUUGCCUUUUAAUUGGAGGCUUGUUUGAAUGGUUUGACGUGAUUGGUAUGAAUAUUUGGUAUUUAGUUGAAAUUGAUUUUGAGGGUUUAGAAUCCUUAAUGUUUAAUAAGACGGAAAGACCCUAGGAUCUUUUGUUUUUGUUUGGGGCAAAUAUUGUUGUUUUUUGAAUAUUGUGACCCU
rnacentral:rRNA from 1 species